rnacentral:lncRNA from 1 species
GCCGCGCCCCCGCCUGCUGGCCGCGCUGUGCGGCGCGCUGCUCUGCGCCCCCAGCCUCCUCGUCGCCCUGGACCCAGCUCAAAUAUUCCCUCCUCUGGGGAACUUCUAAUUCCCCAGCAGAAAUCAUGCCUCCAGUGACGGUCCAUGCAGGCUUCUGGAGCGUUGGGCAAUCUUCCUCAUCUGUGGACUUGCUGGCCUCUUUCCCCUUGGCUUCUUGAGGCCUGCGCUGCAUCUGAUUUCUCUGUCUCGGGGGCCUAGCAUGGUCAUUGGCCCUCCCAGUGUUUCCUGGAUGAUCAUCGUGCUGUUCCUGAGUCAGGGCUGCCAUUGGAGGUGACAUCUGUGACUGCAACCUGUGCCUGAAUUGGUGGGCGGAACCUGCUCAAUGGGCCAGAACAAUGCUUCCUUCCACUGCCCCUGCCUGAAAGUCCUCAUGGGCCUCCUUUGCAAUCAAACUGCUGCCAAGAGACCUGCCCUGGACCUUGCCUGCCUCUCCAGACCCCAGCUGCCAGCUCUUCCACCAGUGGGCAGUGGUCC